rnacentral:rRNA from 1 species
UAAUACGGAGGGUGCGAGCGUUGUCCGGAAUCAUUGGGCGUAAAGGGCGCGUAGGUGGCGGGACAAGCGUGCGGUGAAAGCCUGGGGCUCAACCCCGGGUCGGCCGUGCGAACUGUUUUGCUUGAGCACUGUAGAGGCAGGCGGAAUUCCGGGUGUAGCGGUGGAAUGCGUAGAGAUCCGGAAGAACACCGGUGGCGAAGGCGGCCUGCUGGGCAGUAGCUGACACUGAGGCGCGACAGCGUGGGGAGCAAACAGGAUUAGAUACCCUGGUAGUCCACGCCGUAAACGAUGGGCACUAGGCGCUUGGGGGAGCGACCCCCCGAGGGCCGGCGCUAACGCAUUAAGUGCCCCGCCUGGGGAGUACGGCCGCAAGGCUG